rnacentral:tRNA from 1 species
GUUUAAAUAGCUUAUAAAGAGCAUAACACUGAAGAUGUUAAGGAGGUAAAUUUACCUUUAAACA